AUCCUGACCUUCAAGGGAGGGAGGAACACCUUGAGAGGAGUUGAGAUCCUGCUUUCUCUUCAGAAUGCCAUCUCUAGGAUGCCAAUGGGCUGUGUCUACAGUACUAUGUAGGAAAGUGCUGCAAGAGGUCUUUCUCAAGUGUUUCAGGAGAGAACUCAUCUGCACACGUGUGGGUGAAAUCUACUCGAAACUGAAGAAUGAACCUCUGGAAGGACUAAGGGGAACAAUUCUUGGAGCUCAGUUCUUUCUGUCACCUCUCUGAAGACCUGGUUCAUAUCUGCAGCUGCAACUCUAUCCCUGAACUCAUCUUUGAAACUACCCAGAGAUAGACUGUCAAGAGCUUCAGAGCUUUACAACAGGAUCUUCCAAGUGCCCUGAGAGGUCAUGAUGGAGCCAAUAGAAAUAAAUCAUACAAAACAAAGCCAGAACCUGGUGGGAGGGAUGCUUACAAAACAACAUAAACGAGAAGUUGUCUGAAAAAAAAUUGUAUGGAAGGAAGAAGAGAUGAGAUAAGGGAAAUGAACUCAUAAUAGCCCCAGUUAAAAUACUUACAGUAAAAUAUCAUUAGUACUACUUGAUGUUGGUGAAAGGCUCUAGACUCAAGUCAGAAGGCCCAAUUUGUUGCUGUGAUUUCUUGAACAAAUUAUGUAAUUGUGUUGAGAUUCAGUUUUCUUUUCUAUCAUUGGGUAUUAAUAACUUCUAUGUGAUGUCAGAGUUAUGAUGUGAAGUUAAAAUAACUAAUAAAUGGGUAAACCCUGAAAA
rnacentral:lncRNA from 1 species